GUCCUAGCUGUAAACGAUGUUCACUAGGUGUGGGUGGUAUCGACCCCUUCCGCGCCGAAGCUAACGCAUUAAGUGAACCGCCUGGGGGAGUACGGCCGCAAGGUUGAAACUCAAAGGAAUUGACGGGGGCCCGCACAAGCGGUGGAGUAUGUGGUUUAAUUCGACGCAACACGAAAACCUUACCUGGGCUUGAAGAGCAGGUGGUAAAAGCUGGAAACAGUAAUGACCCGCAAGGGAGCCUGUAGAGGUGCUGCAUGGUUGUCGU
rnacentral:rRNA from 1 species